rnacentral:rRNA from 1 species
UACGUAGGCAGCAAGCGUUGUUCGGAAUUACUGGGCGUAAAGCGUGCGCAGGCGGUUUUGUAAGCCAGAUGUGAAAUCCCCGGGCUUAACCUGGGAAUGGCAUUUGGGACUGCAAGGCUUGAGUGCGGCAGAGGAGACUGGAAUUCCUGGUGUAGCAGUGAAAUGCGUAGAUAUCAGGAGGAAUACCGAUGGCGAAGACAGGUCUCUGGGCUGACACUGACGCUCAUGCACGAAAGCGUGGGGAGCAAACAGG